GGCAAGGAAAUAUAUGUGGGGUGAGGUGAACGAGCCUGUGGUCAACGAUCUAUGGCCACACAACCCCCAUUUUUGUCGAAAAUAGCAUAAACGACCAUUUUCAAUAAUACUAGAGGCUAACACCUACGGAAUUUUGACCAAGAAAUGGUCUGCACCAGAAAUCCAAGAAUGUGAUCUAUGGCAAGGAAACAUAUGUGGGGUGAGGUGAACGAGCCUCUGGUCCAUGAUCAAUCGCCACACAACCCCCAUUUUUGCCGAAAAUAGCCAUUAAUGACCAUUUUCAAUUAUACCCAAGGCUAACACCUACAGAUUUUUGACCAAGAAAUGGUCUCCACCAGAAAUCCGAGAAUGUGAUCUAUGGGAAGGAAACAUAUGUGGGGUGAGGUGAAUGAGCCUCUGGUUAAUGAUCAAUGGCCACACAACCCUCAUUUUUGUCGAAAAUAGCCAUGAACGACCAUUUUCAAUAAUAUCGAAGGCUAACACCUACGAAAUUUUGACCAAGAAAUGGUCUCCACCAAAUAUCCAAGAAUGUGACCUACGUCAAGGAAACAUAUGUGAGGUGAGGUGUACAAGCCUCUGGUCGAUGAUCAAUGGCCACACAACCCCCAUUUUUGUCGGAAAUAGCCAUCAACGACCAUUUUCAAUAAUACCGAAGGCUAACACCUACGGAUUUUUGACCAAGAAAUGGUCUCCACCAGAAAUCCAAGAAUGUGAUCUAUGGCAAGGAAACAUAUGUGGGUUCAGGUGUACGACCAUACAGUCGAUGAUCAAUGGCCAAACAACCCUCAUUUUUGUCAAAAAUGGCAUAAACGCCCAUUUUCAAUAAUAACAAAGGCUAACGACUACGGAUUUUCGACCAAGAAAUGGUCUCAACUAGAACUCCAAGAAUGUGAUCUAUGGUAAGGAAACAUAUGUGGGAUGAGGUUUAUGAUCCUCUAGUCGACGAUCAAUGGCCACACAACACCCAUUUUUGUCGAAAAUAGCCAUGAACGACCAUUUUAAAUAAUACAGAAGGCUCACACCUACGGAUUGUGUGGUCGCUUAUGCUAUUUUCGACAAAAAUGGGUGUUGUGUGGCCAUAGAUCAUUGACCACAGGCUCGUUCACCUCACCCCACAUAUGUUUCCUUGCCAUAUAUCAAAUUAUUGGAUUUCUAGUGGAGACCAUUUUUUGGUCAAAAAUCCGUAGGUGUUAGCCUUUGGUAUUAUUGAAAAUGGUCGUUCAUUGCUAUUUUCGACAAAAUGGGGUUUGUGUGGCCAUUGAUCAUCAACGAGAGGCUCGAACACCUAACCCCACAUAUGUUUCCUUGCCAUAGAUCACAUUCUUGGAUUUCUGGUGGAGACCAUUUCUUGGUCAAAAAUCCGUAGGUGUUAGCCUUCGGUAUUAUUGAAAAUGGUCGUUCAUUCGAUUUUCGACAAAAAGAUGGGCGUUUUGUAGCCAUUGACCAUCAAACAAAGGCUCAUACACCUGACCCCACAUAUGUUUCCUUGUCGUAGGUCACAUUCUUGGAUUUUUGGUGGGGACCAUUUCUUAGUCAAAAAUCUCUACGUGUUAGCCUUUGGUAUUAUUGAAAAUGGUCGUUCAUGCUAUUUUCAUCAAAAAUAGGGGUUGUUUGGCCAUUGAUCAUCGACCAGAGGCUCAUACACAUCUCCCUACAUUUGUUUCCUUGCCACAGAUCACAUUCUUGGAUUUCUGGUGGAGACCAUUUCCUGGUCAAAAAUUUGUAGGUGUUAGCCUUUGGUAUUAUUUAAAAUGGUCGUUCAUCGCUAUUUUCGACAAAAAUGGGUGUUGUGUGGCCAUUGAUCGUCGACCAGAGGAUCAUAAACCUCAUCCCACAUAUGUUUCAUUACCAUAGAUCACAUUCUUGGAUUUCUAGUUGAGACCAUUUCUUGGUCGAAAAUCCGUAGUCGUUAGCCUUUGUUAUUAUUGAAAAUGGGCGUUUAUUCUAUUUUCGACAAAAAUGAGGGUUGUUUGGCCAUUGAUCAUCGACCGUAUGGUCGUACACUUGACCCCACAUAUGUUUCCUUGCCAUUGAUCACAUUCUUGGUGUUGGGACCUUUUGGGGACUUGUUCUCAAAUGCUAUAAGUUAAGAACAAGGCAACACAAAAAAUGUUAAACAUUAAAGUCCUUCGUCCUUCGGAGCAUUAUUUCCCUUGGGAUAUAAUGAUUUUCGGACGAAGGUUAUGAAGGACAUACCUUCAUCAACACAACAUAUAAUAAUGAAGAAGGAAUCAUAUGGAAUAUAAUGUAAACAAUUAUGUAUAAUUAUCAACUCAUUUCUAUAUUAUUAUUAUGGAAAAAUAGAAAUGAUAUCAAAUUACAAAUGUACCUUCGGCUUGAAAGAAGGUAAAAAUACAAGCGUGACGCAAAAGUAAAUGCCAAGUCAGCGUGAACAGUACGGGGGCACUGUUCACCUAUUUAUAGGCACGGGACAUAGCUCAUGUAAAAUUACAUCCAUGCCCUUUACAUUUGGUAGUAAUUUUAUAGUAAUCCACCGAGGUCUGAAUAGCCUUUUCAUCUUUAAGUCGGUUUCCUUUUCUGCUAUCACGCCGAAGCUUUCCUGCUCACAGCUUCGGCGCUGUGUCAACCUUCGUAUUCUUUGGGCUUCUCCCACUGUGGUACCGAUUCGAGUUCGAAGAUACCUGUUCACACAUUAUACUUCAGAAACAUUGUUAAAUCAUGUUUUUGAGGACCUUCGGAAGCCGAAGGCCCCCAACAGUAGCCCCUCGCAAUAUUAAUUUGUUAGAAUAAUAAAUUUAGAUUGCGACAUGGACGAAGGCCUUAAGCCGAAGGUCCGAAAAAAACACCUUUCCUUUGCUAGAAUAGCAACAUUCACUGACAAGCGGGGUUUUCCAAUUUUCAAUGCACUGGGCGUAUAAAUAAGAGCAUACCACGAGCUCACUUGGUACGCUUUCUUGCCAUCUGCUCUUGCUUGCUCAAUUUUUAGCUCUUGCGCACCAACACUUGCUUGGCUUUUUAAGUUUUUAAGCUUCGGCUUUGAAAACAGUUUUUUAGCAUUUUCGAAGAUGUCUGAAGACAAAAAGGCUGCUAUCAAGAUGAAGCUGAGCCUCUCUGAAGAGAAAAACCUGGGGUUUCUUGAAGCAAUGUCGAAAACCAAUACAGAAAAGAUCACCAAAGAGAUUUUAGAAGGUUUAUCUGAAGAUACUGAUGACAGCGACAGUUAUGAUGCGGAUAGCGGUGAUGAAGACUCCGAAGAUCGCCCUUGGCGACCAAGCCAUGCGGUUUUCGGCAAAUCAAGUAUCAAAGAAAAUCAUCUUGUCAACAAGAGGGGAAGAUAUUUCCGGGACUUGUCCGUUGUGAGGGCCGACGAAGGAGAGAAAACUUGUCCGACCCCUGAGGAAAAUGAAGUCGUAGUGUUCUGAAGCUUUUUGAAAGCUGGAUUACGAUUUCCCCUGAGCAGCUUUGUCGUAGAGGUGCUGAAAAUAUUUGAAAUCUAUCUUCACCAACUUACCCCCGAAGCAAUCAUAAGGAUGAAUAUCUUCGUGUGGGCCGUGAGAAGCCAAGGUCUGGAACCUGAUGCGAAAAGUUUCUGCAACAUACACGAAUUGUUAUACGAGACAAAACCCUGGGGUAAGGAGCAAUAUCACAAUAAUUUCGGCUGCUACAGUUUCGUCUCUCGGUCUGGGUCAAGCUGUCCUGUGCCAACCUUUCGGAAGAGAUGGCCCGGCGACUGGAUGACAGAAUGGUUUUAUGUGAAGAAUGACCUGAAAACACGGGAAGAUAUUAAAGGUAUAAUUAUGCGUCCUAUUUGGCAACGCUUCGGCCUACGGAGGCCGAAGGUUGAAAUGAAUGAAGCUGCCGAAGAAUGCCAGAGAGCCUUCGGAGUUAUUUGCUCUUUUAUUGGAACGAGGGAUCUGGUCCAAGAGCAUAUUGCCUUCAGAGUAUGGCCGCUCGCGGAAAAAUGGGAAAUGCCGCAAGAGACCAUGAAAGAGGCUGACGAAGGUGGACUUAUCAGGCUGAAGUAUACUUUCAAAUUCGGAGAUAAAUUCGUUGAGCCAGAUGAUGACUGGCUAAAAAGUAUUGAAAAUUUAAGUGAUGAACUACUUGGGGUUUAUUCAAGGGCCGAAGAUACUGCAUUGUCAGCAGCCUUCGGAGGCCGGAAAAAGAAAAGACUGAACCGAGUGUUUGACGCAAUUGGGUUCGUGUACCCCGACUACCACUCUCCAGCGCGGGGCCAAAAAAGAAAAAGCGCAUCUUCUGCACAGGAAACUGCUUCAGCCGCUCCCAGCGAGCCAGCGCCGAAGAGACAAAGGGUAAAGGUUCUCACACACCGGCCACGCUACAUUGAACCAGCUACAGUGCCUGAGUUCGCCGGUGAAACCUCUUCGGCCACCGAUAUUAAAGAACCAACUUCAGUGUCGAAGAUCGAAGAAAAAGCUGAAGCACCCUCAGCAGAGAAAACAGAAAACCGAGAACUGAAGGAACGAAAAUAUUGGAAAUUUUAAGUCCUUCAGCAAGUGUUGAGACAAUAAAAAACCAAAAGGGCCCAGCAGUGACCCCGAAAAGAAAAAGAAUGGUCAAUGUGCUAGAUGUACUGGAGACAAUUAAGUCCUCAAGCACGACUCCGAAGAAGACUGUUGAAACUUCCGAAGUGGAAACUGAAAUCUUUGAUACUAAAGCUCCAAAGCAACAAGCUGAGACUGAAGCUGGGCCUUCAGAGCCCACGAAGGUAAAAUCCUUGGAAACCGAGGAAGAAAAAAUGACGGAGCCAAUUCUUGUUGAAGAAAUCAGUGCUGUUGCCCCCGAAGCAUCCCCCAAAGUCCUUGAUUAUAUUGUUCGACAUGCUUCGGGGAAAAAGUUAUCAGAAGAAGUUUUUGAAGCUAAUCACUAUGCCAAAGAAUUGAAAUAUCCGAAGGGGGCACUAGUGUUCAAUGGUACAAAUGAAGAAGAUUUCCUAUACUGCCUCCCGGAUAACAAAGAAUUACUCGUCUGCCGGGAAAUGGCCCGAAGCAUGGGGUUUCCGAAACUGGAGGCUGGCCUCUGCGCGAUGACAAAGGACGAUCUUGCGGACAGCCUUGCGUAUAAUAGCCUGAAGGUACGAGAUCUGCGCAUUUGAAAACUUUAUGAUUUGAAAUCUAUUCUUUUAUUCUUAUACUAACUCUUUUAUAUAUAGGGUUUAAUACUAAGCAACGCGCUGAGAGCGCAAAAGAAUGCCAAAGACGAGAGCUAUGAAAUUGCUUUCAAUAACCUUCAAACAGAGGUUAUCAAACUAAGAAACGAAGCCUUGGAAAAGGACAAAAUUCUAGUUACAUUGGUGGAUAAAAUAAAGGAGGACGAAGCUGCCUCUAAAGCACAAGCUGCAGCUCAAAAGCACGAGAUUGACGAUCUUCGGAAGCAAUUAGCCCGAGCUAAAGAAGAACGCAUACUUGAAGAAACGAAGCGAGAACUUAGCGACCAAUGGGCAAAUCAUUUAGAAGGAACUGUUGAAGAGCUUCGUUCGUCCAAGAAAAGAUGCUAUGACAAAUCUAUGGAGUGUGUUAAGAAAAUGAAAGCUAGCUUCGCCAGUGUUGGAGCAUUCUCGAGCGAAGAAAACUUUACAAGAGGCAACCCCGAAGGUCCCAUCGAAUGGAUUAAUCACGAAGCUGAGGCCUUUGAGGAAAUUUUAAAUAGCCGCGGAGACAUAUGCGCUUUUUCGGGUGCCAGGGGGAUUGCCACCAUUUUGGAGAGAAAGGGCUGUGAGCAUAUAAAGAAUUUAGCGCAAUCCGAAGCUACUUUGUCCUUCGAAGAUGCAAAAGAUCCUUCAGCCGAAGCUAGCAUGGUUGGUGGAAAAUUUUUCACCGAUAUCUGGGACAAUGGUGGUCGAGAAAUGGCCCGAGAAAUUAUCCAAAAAAGCGAAAAAGGCAUCCAUGACGCUAGAAAAGUAGCAGAGGCUGUUGAGAAAAGCGCAGAGCCCGAAGGGCAAAUAGGUAUUAACUAAUGGUUUUUAUUGUGUUAUAAUUUUUGAUUUUAAACUUCGUUCGCAAUUUGUAAUAGCAAUGUAGCUGUAUCCUGUCCUCCCUCAGAUCCUACUAAAGCGCCUCCGGGCCCUCACCCGAAAGAUGACGAUGAAAUUAAAAAGAUGGCUGAAGCUAUCAUGGAUCAAGUUGUCAAUCAACUCCUGAACGAAGCUGCAGAAGUAGUACUUAGGGAAGACUAGGUGCUAUUGUAAAAACAUCUGAAAUGUAAUAUGUGUAAUAUCUUGUAACCCUGAAUGUAAUAUACUUGUUUUUUAUGGUUCAAUUCUUUACGAUGCAUGAAAUUUGCAUACGUACCGUUUUUGAGUCUUUGAAGAAAAAACACCUUCCCUUCUUUUCAUGCUUCGUGAAGAAGAAUUUUCAUUUAUCACAACGAUAUCCAUAGUGUUCUGAUGAAGAAUAACCAAGCUUCGUGAAAAUAUUUUCCGAAGCUACACUCCGAAGAUCAAUAUUGUAUCUCCUUGUGACUUAGCAUGAUUUUCCCUUUUUCAAAGCAUUCUUCCGAAGAUCAAUAUUGUGUCCCCUUCUUGUGCCAUAUGCAGCAUGAUGUAUGAUGCUUAUGCUAUGCGAAAUGAUAUGAUGAUGUUAUGCUAUGUAAAAUGGUAUUUAUUCCGAAGAUACACGCACAUCCCUGCAAUAAAACACAUAAUCUUUUUAAAUCAGCGUUGACUUUUCACUGUAAGCCUCCCUUAGGAGCUUCUUCGCCUUUUACUUCAGCGGAAUCAGCGUUUAUUUUUCGCUGUAAGCCUCCCUUAGGAGCUUCUUCGCCUUUUACUUUCGGCGGUAUUCGCGUUGACUUUUCGCGCUUCGCCUUUUACUUAGGCGGUAUCAGCGUUUAUUUUUCGCUGUAAGCUCUGCAUUCCUUUUGGAACGACUUUUGAGUAGAAAACUUACACUGCGCUCCCUUUGGAACGGCUUUUUGUAACUUUAGCAAACUUACUCUGCGUUCCUUGGAACGACUUUUUGUUGCUUCGAAGAAUUCAUGCCGUGCCUUUUAAAAUAAACUCUUGAUAAUUCGAAGGUCCUUCUUGAUAUCGCAAAUCUUUAAGCUUCAACAACUUAAGCCUAUAGAGGAGAUAUAUUUUCCUUGUGGCAGACAACGAAACCAUUACAUGAGAUUUAAAAAGUGUCCUUUAUUACACAGAAAAUAAAACUGAAUGGAAAAGACUACUAUCAAGGUAGGAUAUUUGUCAAUAAAUGUGCUUCGACUCUGGCACAGUGCUAUUGACUGUGCGAGCUUCGGACUGUUCUCUGAAGUCCCUUUGGUGUUGAGCAUAUUGGCCCCCUUCUGGCUGCUGGCCUUGUUGCAGCGGUGGUGGAGGCGGAGGCUGUUGCUAGGAAGCUUGAGGUUGACUCACCGAAGCUACAGAAACUGCAGGGUGGUUGCCUACAUAUUCUGGGAUAUAAGGCGAAUGAUACGAAGCAGUGUGCAUGAUCUGCUUCGGCUGACCCUGUUGUGCUGCAGCUUCGGCUAUCUCCUUUUGCUUCUGGAUGGUAACAUGGCACAUCCUGGUGGUAUGGCCCUUGUUUUCACCACAGAACAAGCAAAAUGUUCUCCUUGGUUGAUCUCCAAAUCUUCCGCCGAAGCCCCUGGUGCCUCUGCCUCUUGGAGCUGGCGGCCGGAAGGAGCUUUGAUGUUGCCCCGAAGCCUGUGAAGAGCACUUUGGCCUUUGCUGCUGACUCCCCUUAUCAUCAUUUUGAGUAGAGUUGUGAAUUGACCUGACGUGCCUCGGAUAAAAUCUUCCUCCGAAGCCCCUGGUCAUUUCGGAAAACCUGAAAGCCUCUUCCCUUCUUUGACGAAAAUCAUUGUCGGCCCGAAUAUACUCGUCCAUCUUUUGGAGCAGCUUCUCCAAAGUUUGAGGAGGCUUCCUAGCAAAGUACUGAGCUGAAGGUCCUGGCCGAAGUCCCUUGAUCAUGGCCUCAAUGACAAUUUCGUUGGGCACUGUUGGCGCUUGUGCCCUCAAACGCAAGAAUCUCUGGACAUACGCCUUAAGGUAUUCUUCGUGAUCCUGGGUGCACUGGAAUAGAGCUUGAGCAGUGACCGGCUUCGUCUGAAACCCUUGGAAGCUGGUUAACAACAUGUCCUUCAGCUUUUGCCAUGAAGUGAUCGUUCCUGGUCGAAGGGAGGAAUACCAGGUUUGAGCAACACUCCUGACAGCCAUAACAAAAGAUUUUGCCAUGACUGCAGUAUUGCCACCAUACGAAGAUACUGUUGCUUCGUAGCUCAUCAAAAACUGCUUCGGGUCUGAAUGGCCGUCAAAUAUAGGAAGCUGGGGCGGCUUGUAGGACGGAGGCCAAGGUGUAGCCUGCAGCUCAGCGGACAGAGGAGAAGCAUCAUCAAAAGCAAAAUUUCCAUGGUGGAAAUUCUCAUACCAGUCAUCUUCGUUGAAGAAAUCCUCUUGAUGAGGGUCUUUGUGCUGAGGUCUUCGGUUCUGCUCAUCCUGAGUAAGAUGACGAACUUCUUCAGAGGCUUCGUCUAUCUGCCUUUGCAGUUCAGCUAGCCUGGCCAUCUUUUCCUUCUUUCUCUGCACCUGUUGAUGAAGAAUCUCCAUGUCUCUGAUUUCUUGGUCUAGCUCAUCCUCUUGCAGUGUCAGGCUGACAGCCUUCCUCUUCUGGCUUCGGGCCUCCCGAAGGGAGAGAGUCUCCUGAUUGGGGUCCAGCGGUUGCAGAGAUGCAGCCCCAGUUGCUGAAGCUUUCUUUGGCGCCAUAGCGAAGGUUUAUGAUUGCCAAAGGUGUUCAAAACUCAAAGAGUGGAAGUGAGUUCACCGGAGGUGGGCGCCAAUGUUGGGGACUUGUUCUCAAAUGCUAUAAGUUAAGAACAAGGCAACACAAAAAAUGUUAAACAUUAAAGUCCUUCGUCCUUCGGAGCAUUAUUUCCCUUGGGAUAUAAUGAUUUUCGGACGAAGGUUAUGAAGGACAUACCUUCAUCAACACAACAUAUAAUAAUGAAGAAGGAAUCAUAUGGAAUAUAAUGUAAACAAUUAUGUAUAAUUAUCAACUCAUUUCUUUAUUAUUAUUAUGGAAAAAUAGAAAUGAUAUCAAAUUACAAAUGUACCUUCGGCUUGAAAGAAGGUAAAAAUACAAGCGUGACACAAAAGUAAAUGCCAAGUCAGCGUGAACAGUACGGGGGCACUGUUCACCUAUUUAUAGGCACGGGACAUAGCUCAUGUAAAAUUACAUCCAUGCCCUUUACAUUUGGUAGUAAUUUUAUAGUAAUCCACCGAGGUCUGAAUAGCCUUUUCAUCUUUAAGUCGGUUUCCUUUUCUGCUAUCACGCCGAAGCUUUCCUGCUCACAGCUUUGGCGCUGUGUCAACCUUCGUAUUCUUUGGGCUUCUCCCACUGUGGUACCGAUUCGAGUUCGAAGAUACCUGUUCACACAUUAUACUCCAGAAACAUUGUUAAAUCAUGUUUUUGAGGACCUUCGGAAGCCGAAGGCCCCCAACAGGACCAUGCUUCGUCGCCGAAGGUCCUGCGGAAAGAAAACAGCUUCGGCUGAAGCUGCUUCAACAUAAUGCCGAAGGCACCAUUCAUGAAGCUUCAUUAUUACAACAUGUCCGAAGAUGAGGGAUCGAACCGACUUAAAGAUAGAAUGACCUUUUAGCCCACAAAGGUCUGAGUCAAUGUUGUAAACUUUUAUGGGGGGCAUGAUUGUAAUUCCUCAUAGGCUAUGUCCUGUGCCUAUAAAUAGUGAACAGUAUUCCUUUACUGUUCACGCAUUCCUGUAAUUGCAAACGCAUCACUCGGGAAUUAUUGUUUGUCAAGGCAAAGGUAUAAAUGUACCUAAAUGUUAUAUUCAAACAUCUUAAAUUCAUAUAAUAAGAUAUGUGAAUGAUGUCAUUUAUUUCCAAUAUAAUUAUCUUUAAUGUUUCACGUUUUACAUUACUCUAUAUUAUCUUUAUAAGUUUAAUUACGAAGGUGAAACCUUCGUAAUAUUAUGCUCGUGACCUUCGUCCGAAGUUCAUUAAAUCCUUGUGGAGAUAAUGUUUCGGCGGACGAAGGGUAUUGGUAUUUAACAUUUUAUGUUGCCUUGUUCUUAAUUGAUAGCAUUUGAGAACAAGUCCCCAACAUUGGCGCCCACCUCCGGUGAACUCACUUCCACUUUUUUGAGUUGAUGGCUUCGUUCAACAAUCAAGCUGGAGCUGCUUCGGCUCCGAAGCUGGUACUCCCGAUAACAGGCGGUUCAUGCUCAGAGCCAGCCAACAAGAAGCAGAAGAAGGAGGCACAGAGAAGGGUACAGCAUGUCGGGGUGCAAGGACCCUUCAUCAAGUCAAGAUGGUCUCACAUUCCAAUUACCUUCUCUCAAGAGGAUCUUCAACUCAAGGAUUACCCACACAACGAUGCUAUGGUUAUCUCUUGUGUGAUCAAAGGAUUUCUGGUCCAUAAUGUUUUGGUUGAUACAGGCAGCGCAGCUGAUAUCAUAUUUGCUAAGGCCUUCAGACAGAUGCAAGAGCCCGAGGACAAAAUCCAUGAUGCCACACAUCCCCUUUGUGGCUUCGGAGGAAGGCAGAUUGUAGCACUUGGAAAAAUCACAAUGCCAGUAACCUUCGGAUUCAUUAACAACACAAGGACUGAACAAGUUGUAUUUGAUAUUGUUGACAUGAAAUACCCUUACAAUGCAAUCAUUGGUCGUGGUACUCUCAAUGCCUUCGAAGCAAUUCUUUAUCCAGCUUAUCUUUGCAUGAAGAUACCUUCGGACCAAGGGCCCAUUGCUAUUCAUGGAAGUCAGGAAGCUGCUAGAAGGGCCGAAGGAAAUUGGACAGACUCAAAAGCAAUCCAUAAUAUAGAUGGAGCUGAAGCUUGUGAGCAAUACAAGUUUAGAAGGGAAAAAGCUGCUUCGGCUGAUCAGCCGAAGCCCAUGCUCUUGUGUGAGGACAUAACAGAGCAGAAGGUGCUGUUGGGAUCUCAACUGUCCGAAGAACAGGAGAAAACCUUGAUAAUGUUUUUGUUCAACAAUAAAUAUGUUUUUGCUUGGUCAGCUAAUGAUCUUUGCGGAGUUAACAGGGAUGUUAUUGAGCACUCGCUCAAUGUUGAUCCAUCCUUUAGACCCAGAAAGCAGAGGCUUCGAAAGAUGUCUGAUGACAAGGCCGAAGGUGCUCGGAAUGAAGUGAAAAGACUCCUCAGUGCCGGAGUUAUCAGAGAGGUAAAAUACCCAGAAUGGCUGGCUAACACUAUUAUGGUAAAGAAGGCCAAUGGUAAAUGGAGGAUGUGUAUUGAUUUUACUGAUCUCAAUAAGGCCUGUCCGAAGGACGAGUUUCCAUUGCCAAGGAUAGAUUCCCUAGUUGAUGCAGUAGCUUCAUCAGAGCUUAUGAGUCUGCUGGAUUGUUAUUCAGGCUAUCACCAAAUUUGGAUGAAGAAGGAGGAUGAACCGAAAACCAGCUUCAUAACCCCUAGUGGAACAUAUUGUUACCUUCGGAUGCCUGAGGGGCUUAUGAAUGCUGGAGGAAGCUUUAGCAGAAUGACAGCGAAGGUUCUUUAUUCCCAGAUAGGCAGAAAUGUGCUAACUUAUGUUGAUGAUAUCAUUGUAAAAAGCACGAAGCAAGAUAAUCACAUUGCUGAUCUGCAGGAGACCUUCGCUAAUUUUAGACAGGCUGGUUUAAAGUUGAACCCAGAAAAAUGUGUCUUCGGAGUAAAGAAAGGGAAAUUUCUUGGCUGUCUAGUCUCAACAAAAGGAAUUGAGGCUAAUCCAAACAAAAUCGAAGCUAUCCUUUGAAUGGAACCACCAAGUGCAAAGAAGGGGGCUUAAAGAUUGACAGGAAGACUGGCAUCUCUCAACAGAUUCAUAUCUAGAUCAGCAGAGAGAAAUUUACCAUUUUUCGAAGUGCCGAAGUCAGCCAAAGUUUUUCAAUGGGGACCAGUCCAGCAGAGAGCCUUCGAAGAGCUCAAGCAAUAUUUGAUAGAUCUAACAACCCUAACUCCACCAACGCCAGGGGCUCCUUUGUUGUUAUAUGUGGCAGCUUCGCACUCAGCGGUAAGUGCAGCACUUGUCCAGGAGAAGCUUGAAGGCCAAAUCAAAAAGCAGGCCCCAAUAUACUUUGUAUCCGAAGUUCUUAGUUUAUCAAAGAAAAAUUAUACAGAACUGGAGAAGGUACUGUAUGCUGUUUUGAUGGCCUCCAGGAAACUUCGGCAUUAUUUUCAAGCUUACAAUAUAAUUGUUCCUUCUUCACAACCGUUGAAGGAUAUUAUGAGAAAUCGAGAAGCUACUGGAAGGAUUAGAAAAUGGGCUGCAGAGCUCAAUGAAUUUUGUAUUGAUUAUGUGCAUAGGUCUUCGAUUCAAUCCCAAGCGUUGGCAGACUUCAUUGCUGACUGGACGCCAGGGGCUCAAGAGGAAGAAACGAAUAAAGAUGUCAAAGUAUGGACAGUGUUUUGUGAUGGGUCUUGGGGAACCUUCGGAGCAGGAGCAGCUGCUGUGUUGGUUUCACCUUCCAAAGUUAAAACUUCUUAUGCGACAAGACUUGAUUUCAGUUGCACAAACAAUAUUGCUGAGUACGAAGCUCUGCCUUGGGUCUUCGGAAGUUAAAGGCAAUGGGAAUCAGAAGGGCCAUUCUUAAAACUGAUUCCCAAGUUAUUUCUGGUCAUAUUGACAAGAGCUACAAAGCAAGAGAUCCAAAGCUUGAAAAAUAUUUAGAUACAGUCCGAAGGAUUGAAGCUUCCUUCGAAGGAUUCUCUGUUAAAAAUAUUCCUCGUGGAGAAAAUGAGUAUGCUGAUCUAUUAGCCAAGUCAGCAGCACAGGGGCUGCCCUUACCUUCGGAAGUAUUUUUCGAAACAAUAAAAGCACCUUCGGUCGAGCUUCUUGAAAGAGCAGUCCUCAACAUAUCCCCUGUCUAUAGUGAAGAUUGGAGAACUGAGAUCAUCUCUUUCCUUCAAGGUAAUUUUCUUUCAGAUGACGAAGCUUAUAACAGGAGGAUAGAAGCAAGAGCUCGACCAUAUGUCAUAAUAGAAGGGGAAUUAUACAAGCGGGGGGUCUGUUCCCCGUUACUCAAGUGUUUAUCCAGAGCCGAAGGCAUAGAAUUGAUGAAGAAAAUACACGCAGGCCUGUGUGGAUCUCACAUUGGAUCUAGGCCUUUGCUCGGAAAAGUUUUUCGUCAAGGAUUUUAUUGGCCAAAAGCAGCUUCGGAUGCAGCGGAUUUAGUUCAAAAGUGCGAAGGUUGUCAGAAAUGUGCUAGAGAUCAAAAACAACCUUCGUCUUUAACUCAAUUAAUACAACUCACUUGGCCGUUGCAAAGGUGGGGCCUUGAUUUGCUAGGUCCAUUACCACCAGCACAGGGGAACUUAAGAUAUGUUGUAGUGGCAGUGGAAUAUUUUUCUAAGUGGAUUGAGGCAAAGCCUUUAGCCACAAUAACUUCGGUUACUAUUCAAAAGUUUUUUUGGCAAAAUAUUGUUUGUCUCUUCGGAGUGCCGAAGGCUAUUACUAUGGAUAAUGGGACACAGUUUGAUUCUGAAGCUUUCAGAGAAUUUUGCGAUCAAAUCGGCACGAAGAUCUAUUUCGCAUCAGUUCGACAUCCGGAGUCAAAUGGACUUGUUGAAAGAGCUAAUGGGAUCAUAAUGACAGGAAUAAUGAAGUUAAUCGUCAAUCAGCCCAGGGGAAAGUGGCUGAGACGAAUUAACCUAAGUGGUGUGGAGCCAUAAUACAACAGUGUCAAGAUCAACAUGCUUUACGCCAUUUAAACUAUUAUUUGGUGACGAAGCAAUUACCCCGGAAGAAGCCAAAACGGGAUCAAUAAGAACAAUAGCUUCGGCAGAAGGCGAAGAUGAAGCUGAUUAUUCUGUGGAAAAAGAUGCUAUAGAAGGGAUCAGGCUUCAAGUUGUGGAAAACAUCAACAAAUAUCAAGCUGAAACAAUAAAAUGGUGUGACAGAAAGGUUAGGCUGAAGAACAUUGAACCAGGACACUUGGUGCUUCGAAGAGUGGCCAACCCUGACACAGUAGGCAAAUUACAGCUGAAGUGGGAAGGACCUUUUUUGGUAGUAUCUUCGUCAAGACCCGGUUCCUACAGAUUGAAGGAUAUGGACGGCAACGACAUUCCUAGAUCAUGGAAUGAGGAUGAGCUUCGGCGAUAUUAUGUUUAGCUUGAUGUAUUUUUUUCUAUUCUUUUUUGUGGCACCCUUUUCCUUUCCAAAGGGGGAGAAAGGUUUUUAAUGGGGCCACAACAUGUAAUUUUUCUUUUCCUUAUUUCAAUUCUAUAAGAGUGACAUCCCCCAAAAAAUGUAAAUGUAAGUGCAAAGGAAAAAGAAAAGAAAUCAGGGAGAAGCUCAAAAGUCGUUCCUAAGGGAAUGCAGAGCUCACAGCGAAAAAUAAACGCUGAUUCCACCGAAAGUAAAAGGCGAAGAAGCUCCUAAGGGAGGCUUACAGCGAAAAAUAAACACUGAUUCCGCUGAAAGUAAAAGGCGAAGAAGCUCCUAAGGGAGGCUUACAGCGAAAAGUCAGCGCUGAUACACCGAAAAGUAAACGGUGGAGCCGAAAAGUAAAUGGCAAAAAGAUUCGAAUCAUUCCCAAGGGGAUGAAGGGCUAUGAUUAUGGUUUUUGAAUAUGUGUUUCGAUAUUCAUUUGCACGAUACAUUACAUCAUGUCAUUUGCAUUCAUAAACAUUCAUUUAGAUAUAUAUAGAAUCAUCAUCAUCAUACCACACAAAAAAGAUAGAUGCUUCGGCAAUGAGGAAAAACUUUGAAGAAAGAGGAAAAUUUUCAUGCUUCGUUGUGUACGAAAAGAAGUGAAGGUUUUUUUCGCCUUUGGCUCAAAAGUGCAGUUUCGUUCACAGCAAAGCAGAUUGUACACGGAUAAAGGAGACAAGAUAUAUUACAAGGUAUGUACAAAUUUACAUAAGUUUUUCUUCCAUAAUUAUAUUACAGGGAUCUCUCCAGAAUUUUUUGCAGGCAAAUCUAUUAUAGCAACUAUUAAGCUUCAGGCCGUCAUACUUCAGCUUCGUCAUACUUCAGCUUCGUCAUCCUGCACAUAUUAAAGAACAGAAUGAGAAAGGUGCAAAUUUCAAGGAGAAGGUAAAAGUACCAAAUAUAAGUUUCUCACUGGCUUAAGGUGGCUUCGAGCUUCGUCAGCAGCCAUUUUCGCCCGCCAUUUACCCAAAUUUGGGUCAUAAAUCUAUUUCCGAUGCUUCGGGCUAGGCUUGGGAUAUCAACCAAAUCUGCUGCUGACAAGCUGAAGUUUGGCCUAUUCACAAUUUUUCCGUGUGUACAGCCAGCCUUUAGAAAAGCGGUAGCUAUGCCUCGAGAAGCUACCAGGGCGCAGAAGUCAGCAUGCCCAGCAAUAACUUCGUCAAGAGCAUCAACCUCGCCUUCAAUAUAUUCCAAGGUGCUGGGCAGGUUUUCAGCUGAAGGUGAAAAUUUUUCAGAACUGGCUCCGAUAGAGUGAAACACGUCCUUCAUCCGCUGCACGCAUCGGCUGCCGAAAUUUAGGCAUUUCUCUUGGAGAUCCUUCAAUGAUUUUUGCAAAUUUGAAUUUUUCUCGAUCUCAGUCUUGAGACUUGCUUCAAUGUUCUUCUUUUCUUGCUCAUAUUUUUCUGACUUUUUGAGUAAUUCAUUCUUUAAACUGUCAUUUUCGGUUUGGACCUCAGCCAAGGAGCCUUCCAUAGACUGAAUAACAAAGUCUUUCUUUUCUAGGGCACCUUCGUGUUCUUUAGCUAUGAUUUCAAGGUCUUGAAUAGUGAAGUCCUUCUUGAGAACAGCUUCGUAAUUUUCAACUUUUUCUUCUAAAUCUUUGAUGAUAGCUUUAUUCUUCUCUUCUUCAAGAUCUUGUUGCAUUUUUAGCACUUUACUUAAUAGUAUACUCUGCCAAAACAACCUUCGUCAAAAAACGACAUAAAAAUAAUAAUACUAAUAAAAUAAUAAUAAUAUUUUUUACCUUAAAAUUAGCAUAGAGCAGACUACCGGCGAUAUGUUGUCACUGAUACCUGCAAAGGUCCGCUUCUAUCUUCGGCAGGCCAACGCUUUUGGAGAAGGUCCUAACAACUUUGGCUUCGGUGCGAUUCCGAAGGCAUCUUAGCUUCCCUUCGUUGACCCCACCAAAUAGCAUAGACUCUGGUUUAUAUCCGCAGGAUAUGGCAUAUUUCUUCAGCUCUUCUUUUUCAGCACUUGUUAAUUCUUGUCCAAGUAAAUCUUGAAAGUUAAAAUUUUCUUCCUCCAAAAUGUCCUUAACCUGCUCCUUUCCCUUUUCAGUAGCCGUGUUCACCGCAGCCACAUCAGCUUCUUCUUCAGCCAUUUUUAGAAGAAUAUUGUCAAUAACUUCCAGUGUGGUUUCCAGGUUUGAAUCUUCAGUGGUCCCGGCUUCGUCUCCGGUAGCUUCGGCUCCGGUAGUUUCGGCGGCUUCGACUCCGGUAGCUUCGGCUCCGGCAGUUGCAAUUUCAGUGGUUUCAGCCCCGGUAGCUUCGGCUGCGGCGGUUUCGGCUUCGGCGGUCUCGGCAAUAACAAUUUUUGACGCCGAUACAGGUGGCGGCGUCUGAUGAAUCACAUCUGUCACUUGAAUGAUUCUCCGUUUUUUCGGCUUCGCAGGGCUUUCUGCUGCCGAAGCUUCUUUGUCCUUCUGAAAAAACUUCGUCAGUUCCGGCGCCAGCGGACUUAGCUUGACAGGCAAAGAUUCAGUCAUUACCUUCAGAAUUUCUUCUACUUCGGCAGCAGAAGGUGUCGCAGGAAUUUCCUCAUCUCAGACCAAUCUCUUUGGUUCUGGAGAUACAGGUUUUGGAGAUGCAGCUUUUCUUUUUCUUGGAGCAACUACCUUCGGUUCAAACUUUUCUUUCUUCUUUGGUUGAUCUUCGUCGUCUUUAAUCAAAGUGCUAGCUACUCUUUUCCUUUUUUGCCCUUCGGCACCCUUGUCUAGCCGCUCGUAGUCAGGGUAUUCAAAGCCUAUAGCAUCAAGCAUUCUGUUUAGUCUUUGUUUCGGCCGGGUGCCGAAGGCUGCUGUCAUCAAUUGAUCCUCCUUUUUAGAAUAAUUCCCAAGAAUUUCAGUACUCAUUACUUCGAUUGUUUCGAGCCAUUCUUGGCAGGGUGCUUUAAAAUAUUUCUUGAACUUAUAGUGGUAAGGCAGGCGGACAAGCUCCCCCUCCUUCUUCUCUCUUUCGAGCUUCGGCAUAGCCCAUUCCUUCAUAGUUGGAAAUAUUUUGAACGCCAAAAAUUCCUGCACUAGAUCUCUAGUGCCAAUGUGCUCUGCAAUAAUCCUGAAUUCGGCCAACGCCGUUUGGGUUGGACCUUCUGGUGUCAUACUGCAUUGGGGUCUGGUCUCUCCGAAGAUCAGUUCAAGCGGACUCUGUACCAGCUUUUCCUUGUCAUCGUCAACUUUGACGUAGAACCAUUCCGAUUUCCAGCCUGCCGGCCACUUGCUUCGGUAGCUGAUCACAGGAAAUUUUGUACUUUUUCGAUAGGCAAAAUUAUAACAACCAAAAUUUUCAUGUAACCCAUCCUUUCUGGCCUUGGUUUGGUAAUGUAGCUCGUGCACUCGGCAGAAACCUUCGGCAAACGGUUCCACCCCCUGGCUUCGGAGAGACCAAAUAUAAAUACUAAGCCUAACAAUAGCGUUAGGAGUUAGUUGAUGAAGGUAGAUCCCAAAUUUCUUUAGCACAUCAGCAAUCAUCCUAUUCAAAGGAAAUCUCAAACCAGCUUUGAGGAAACUCUUGAAAAUCACUAUUUCAUCUUUAUGUGGCUUCGGGGUAGUUUCUUCUCCACUGAAGCGAAUCAGCUUUUUCUCUUCUUCGCUAAAGUAGCCCAACUUCACCAUCUUAGGAAAAUCAGCCUUGGAGAUGGUUGACUUUCCGAAGUCUAGGUGGCUGGGCUUGCUCGGUACUGUGAUACUGUGAUCACCUUCAGAAUCAGUCUCUUCAAUAUCUGCUUGUUCUGCUUCAGCAGCAGGGAUGUCUUCCGAUGUCAUCAACCCAGAUCGCUUCAUUGCUUCCGAGAUAGGAACAAUUUCCAUAGCUUCGACUUCAUCUCCUUCGCGCUCAACUCUAGCAGUAGAGCGCACUCUGGCCAUUUGAUUUUAAAUUUCUUGAAAAUUUCUUGGAAAUUAAUAACCUUUCUUCCGAAGCUCUUCUUCUGACGAAGCAGACACCAAACUGGAGCUUCGUUUGAAUGCGAAAGUCAAGCUUCGACUAUGGUUAAAUUUUUGGCAGCAGAACAGUGCAAUAGCAAUGAAUGCUGUGGUAACUUCACACCUAUCUGUCUGUUUAUAUAGUGCUGCAGGUAAGAAGGUGAAUCGUCAGGAUUUUCACACCAGGCAAACAGUUGCUCGCACCCGCUGCGCGGUGGGCCGCAAAAACCAAAAUAGUGAACCUGCAUGGUGGGACUGCUACGCGCUCGAAAACUGUAUCGUUUCUCGACAACGAGCUCAGGGAAGGUGUUUUUCGGACCUUCGGCUUCCUGAAGCCUAAGAGACUUUUUUCAUGGAUCAAGCUCGUUACGAAAAACGAUCUAGCACCGCGAAGGGGCUACUGUUGGGACCAUGCUUCGUCGCCGAAGGUCCUGCGGAAAGAAAACAGCUUCGGCUGAAGCUGCUUCAAUGUAAUGCCGAAGGCACCAUUCAUGAAGCUUCGGUAUUACAGCAUGUCCGAAGAUGAGGGAUCGAACCGACUUAAAGAUAGAAUGACCUUUUAGCCCACAAAGGUCUGAGUCAAUGUUGUAAACUUUUAUGAGGGGUAUGAUUGUAAUUCCUCAUAGGCUGUGUCCUGUGCCUAUAAAUAGUGAACAGUAUUCCUUUACUGUUCACGCAUUCCUGUAAUUGCAAACGCAUCACUCGGGAAUUAUUGUUUGUCAAGGCAAAGGUAUAAAUGUACCUAAACGUUAUAUUCAAACAUCUUAAAUUCAUAUAAUAAGAUAUGUGAAUGAUGUCAUUUAUUUCCAAUAUAAUUAUCUUUAAUGUUUCAUGUUUUACAUUACUCUAUAUUAUCUUUAUAAGUUUAAUUACGAAGGUGAAACCUUCGUAAUAUUAUGCUCGUGACCUUCGUCCGAAGUUCAUUAAAUCCUUGUGGAGAUAAUGCUUCGGCGGACGAAGGGUAUUGGUAUUUAACAUUUUAUGUUGCCUUGUUCUUAAUUCAUAGCAUUUGAGAACAAGUCCCUAACACUUGGAUUUCUGGUGGAGACCAUUUCUUGGUCAAAAAUCUUUAGGUGCUAGCCUUCGGUAUUAUUGAAAAUGGUCGUUGAUGGCUAUUUCUGACAAAAAUGGAGGUUGUGUGGCCAUUGAUCAUCGACCAGAGGCUCGUACACCUCACCACAAUAUAUUUCCUUGACGUAGGUCACAUUCUUGGAUAUCUGGUGGAGACCAUUUCUUGGCCAAAAAUCCGUAGGUGUUAGCCUUCGGUAUUAUUGAAAAUGGUCGUUCAUGGCUAGUUUCGACAAAAAUGGGGGUUGUGUGGCCAUUGAUCAUUAACUAGAGGCUCGUUCACCUCACCUCACAUAUGUUUCCUUCCCAUAGAUCACAUUCUUGGAUUUCUGGUGGGGACCAUUACUUGGUCAAAAAUCCGUAGGUGUUAGCCUUGGGUAUAUUUGAAAAUGGUCAUUCAUGGCUAUUUUUGGCAAAAAUGGGGGUUGUGUGGCAAUUGAUCAUUGACCAGAGGCUCAUUCACAUCACCCCACAUAUGUUUCCUUGCCAUAGAUCACAUUCUUGGAUUUCUGGUGGAGACCAUUUCUUGGUAAAAAAUCCGUAGGUGUUAGCCUUCGGUAUUAUUGCAAAUGGUCGUUCAUGCUAUUUUCGUCAAAAAAUGGCGGUUGUGUGGCCAUAGAUCGUUGACCAUAGGCUUGUUCACCUCAACCCACAUAUAUUUCCUUACCAUAGAUCAAAUUAUUGGAUUUCUGGUGGAGACCAUUUUUUCGUCAAAAAUCCGUAGGUGUUAGCCUUCGGUAUUAUUGAAAAUGAUCGUUCAUGGCUAUUUUCGACAAAAAUGGGGGUUGUGUGGCCUUUGAUCAUCAAUCAAAGGCUCGUACACCUCACCCCACAUAUGUUUUCUUGCCAUAGGUCACAUUCUUGGAUUUCUGGUGGAGACCAUUUCUUGAUCAAAAAUCCGUAGGUGUUAGCCUUCGAUAUUAUUGAAAAUGGUCGUUCAUGGCUAUUUUCAACAAAAAUGGGGGUUGUGUGGCCAUUGAUCAUUGACCCAAGGCUUGUUCAACUCACCCCACAUAUGUUUCCUUGCCAUAGAUCACAUUCCUGGAUUUCUAGUGGAGACCAUUUUUUAGUCAAAAAUCCGUAGGUGUUGGCCUUCAGUAUUAUUGAAAAUGGUCAUUCAUGGCUAUUUUCGAUAAAAAUGGGGGUUGUGUGGCCAUUGAUCAUUGACCAGAGGCUCAUUCACUUCAUCCCACAUAUGUUUACUUGCCAUAGAUCACAUUCUUGGAUUUCUAGUGGAGACCAUUUCUUGGUAAAAAAUCCUUAGGUGUUAGCCUUAGGUAUUAUUGAAAAUGGUCGUUCAUGCUAAUUUCGACAAAAAUAGGGGUUGUGUGGCCUUUGGUCAUCAACCAGAGGCUCGUACACCUCACCCCACUUAUGUUUCCUUGCCAUAGAUCACAUUCUUGGAUUUCUGGUGGAGACCAUUUCUUGGUCAAAAAUCCAUAUGUGUUAGCCUUGGGUAUUAUUGAAAAUGGUCGUUCGUGGCUAUCUCCGACAAAAAUGGGGGUUGUGUGGCCAUUGAUCAUCGACCAGAGGCUUGUACACCUCACCCCACAUAUGUUUCCUUGCCAUAGGUCACGUUCUUGGAUUUCUGGUGGAGACCAUUUCUUGGUCAAAAAUCCGUAGGUGUUAGCCAUCGGUAUUUUUGGAAAUGAUCGUUCAUGGCUAUGUUCGACAAAAAUGGGGGUUGUGUGGCCAUUGAUCAUUGACCAGAGGCUCGUUCACCUCACCCCACAUAUGUUUCCUUGCCAUAGAUCACAUUAUUGGAUUUCUGGUGGAGACCAUUUCUUGGUAACAAAUCCUUAGGUGUUAGCCUUCGGUAUUAUUGAAAAUGGUCGUUCAUGCUAUUUUCGACAAAAAUAGGGGUUGUGUGGCCUUUGAUCAUCAACUAGAGGCUCGUACACCUCACCCCACUUAUGUUUCCUUGCCAUAGAUCACAUUCUUGGAUUUCUAGUGGAGACCAUUUCAUGGUCAAAAAUCCAUGUGUGUUAGCCUUCGGUAUUAUUGAAAUUGGUCGUUCGUGGCUAUUUCCGACAAAAAUGGGGGUUGGGUGGCCAUUGAUCAUCGACCAGAGGCUCGUACACCUCACCCCACAUAUGUUUCCUUGCCAUAGGUCACAUUCUAGGAUUUUUGGUGGAGACCAUUUCUUGGUCAAAAGUCCGUAGGUGUUAGCCUUCGGUAUUAUUGAAAAUGGUCGUUCAUGGCUAUUUUCGACAAAAAUGGGUGUUGUGUGGCCAUUGAUCAUUGACCAGAGGCUCGUUCACCUCACCCCACUUAUGUUUCCUUGCCAUAGAUCACAUUCUUGGAUUUCUAGUGGAGACCAUUACUUGGUCAAAAGUCCUUAGGUGUUAGCCUUCGGUAUUAUUGAAAAUGGUCGUUCCUGCUAUUUGCGACAAAAAUAGGGGUUGUGUGUCUUUUGAUCAUCAACCAGAGGCUUGUACACCUCACCCCACUUAUGUUUCCUUGCCAUAGAUCACAUUCUUGGAUUUCUGGUGGAGACCAUUUCAUGGUCAAAAAUCCAUAUGUGUUAGACUUCGAUAUUAUUGAAAAUGGUCGUUCGUGGUUAUUUCCGCAAAAAUGGGGGUUGUGUGGCCAUUGAUCAUCGACCAGAGGCUCGCACACCUCACCCCACAUAUGUUUCCUUGCCAUAGGUCACAUUCUUGGAUUUCUGGUGGAGACCACUUCUUGGUCAAAAAUCCGUAGGUGUUAGCCUUCGGUAUUAUUGAAAAUGGUCGUUCAUGGCUAUUUUCGACAAAACUGGGGGUUGUGUGGCCAUUGAUCAUUGACUAGAGGCUCGUUCACCUCACCUCACUUAUGUUUACUUUCCAUAGAUCACAUUAUUGGAUUUCUGGUGGAGACCAUUUCUUGGUCAAAAAUCCGUAGGUGUUAGCCUUCAGUAUUAUUGAAAAUGGUCACAUUCUUGGAUUUUUGGUGGAGACCAUUACUAGGUAAAAAAUCUGUAGUUCUUUGCCUUCGGUAUUAUUGAAAAUGGUCGUGCAAGCUAUUUUGGACAAAAAUGGGGGUUGUGCGGCCAUUGAUCAUCGACCAGAGGCACGUACACUUCACCCAACGUAUGUUUUCUUGCCAUAGAUCACAUUCUUGGAUUUUUGAUGGAAACCAUUUCUUGGUCAAAAAUCCAUAGGUGUUAGCCUUCGUUAUUAUUGAAAAUGGUCGUUCAUGCUAUUUUCGACAAAAAUGGGGGUUCUGUAGCCAUUGAUCAUCGACCAGUUACUCGUACACCUCAACCCACAUAUGUUUCCUUGCCAUAGGUCACAUUCUUUGAUUUCUGGUGGAGACCAUUUCUUGGUCAAAAACUUGUAGCCUUUGGUAUUAUUGAAAAUGGUCAUUCAUGGCUAUUUUCGACAAAAAUGGGGGUCGUGUGGCCAUUGAUCAUUGACCAGAGGCUCGUUCACCUCACCCCACAUAUGUUUCCUUGCCAUAGAUCACAUUCUUGGUUUUCUGGUGGAGACCAGUUCUUGGUCAAAAAUCUGUAGGUGCUAGCCUUCAGUAUUAUUGAAAAUGGUCGUUCAUGGCUAUUUUCGACAAAAAUGGGGGUUGUAUGGCCAUUGAUCAUUGACCAAAGGCUCGUUCACCUCACCCCACAUAUGGUUCCUUGCCAUAUAUCAUAUUCUUGGAUUUCUGGUGGAGACCAGUUCUUGAUCAAAAAUCCGUAGGUGUUUGCCUUCGGUAUUAUUGAAAAUGGUCGUUCAUGCUAUUUUCAACAAAAACAGGUGUUGGGUGGCCAAGAAAUCCAAGAAAUGGCCUCUACCAAAAAUCCAAGAAUGUGACCUAUGGCAAGGAAACUUAUGUGGGGUCUGGUGUACGAGACUGUGUUCGAUGGUCAAUGGCUACACAACCCCUAUUUUUGUCGAAAAUAGCAUCAACGACCAUUUUCAAUAAUACCGAAGGCAAACACCUACGGAUUUUUGACCAAUAAAUUGUCUCGACCAAAAAUCCAAAAUGUGAUCUAUGGCAUAGAAACAUAUGUGGGGUGAGGUGUACGAGCCUCUGGUCGAUGAUUAAUGAUCACACAACACCUAUUUUUGUCGAAAAUGGCAUGAACGACCAUUUUCAAUAAUACCCAUGGCUAACAACUAUGAAAUUUUGGCCAAGAAUGUGAUCUAUGGAAAGAAAACAUACGUGGGGUGAGGUGUACGAGCCUCUGAUCGAUGAUGAAUGGCCACACAACUCCCAUUUUUGUCGAAAAUAGCAUGAAGGACCAUUUUCAAUAAUACCGAAGGCUAACACCAAUGGAUUUUUGGCCAAGAAAUGGUCUCCACCAGAAAACCAAGAAUGUGAUCUAUGGCAAGGAAACCUAUGUGGGGUGAGGUGUAGGAGCCUCUAGUCGAUGAUCAAAGGCCACACAACCUUCAUCUUUGCCGAAAAUAGCCAUUAAACGACCAUUUUCAAUAAUACCUACGGGUUUUUUACCAAGAAAUGAUCUCCACCAAAAAUCCAAGAAUUUGAUCUAUGGCAAGGAAACAUAUGUGGGGUCAGGUGUAUGAGCCUCUGGUCGAUGAUCAAUGGCUACACAACCCCCAUUUUUGUCCAAAAUAGCAAGAAAGAGAAUUUUCAAUAAAACCGAAGGCUAACACCUACGAAUUUUUGACCAACAAAUGGACCCCACCAGAAGUCCAAGAAUGUGACCUAUGGCAAGGAAACAUAUAUGGGGUCAGGUGUACGAGCUUCUAUUCGAUGGUCAAUGGCUACACAACCCCCAUUUUUGUCAAAAAUAGAAUGAACGACCAUUUUCAAUAAUACCGUAGGCUAACACCUUCAGAUUUUUGACUAAGAAAUGGUCUCCACCAGAAAUCUAAGAAUGUGACCUAUGACAAGGAAACAUAUGUGGGGUUAGGUGUACAAGCCUCUGGUCGAUGAUCAAUGGCCCCACAACCCCCAUUUUGUCGAAAAUGGCCAUGAAGAACCAUUUUCAAUAAUACUGAAGGCUAACACCUAGGAUUUUUACCAAGAAAUGGUCGCCACCAGAAAUCCAAGAAUGUGAUCCACAGCAAGGAAACAUAUGUGGGUGAGGUGUACGAGCCUCUGGUUGAUGAUCAAAGGCCACACAACCCUUAUUUUUUUCAAAAAUAGCAUUAACGACCAUUUUCAAUAAUAUUGAUGGUUAACACCUACGGAUUUUUGACCAAGAAAUGGUCUCCACCAAAAAUCCAAGAAUGUGAUCUAUGGCAAGGAAACAUAUGUGGGGUGAGGUGAACGAGCCUCUGGUC
rnacentral:lncRNA from 1 species